AGAGUUUGAUCAUGGCUCAGAGCGAACGCUGGCGGCAGGCUUAACACAUGCAAGUCGAGCGGGCGUAGCAAUACGUCAGCGGCAGACGGGUGAGUAACGCGUGGGAACGUACCUUUUGGUUCGGAACAACACAGGGAAACUUGUGCUAAUACCGGAUAAGCCCUUACGGGGAAAGAUUUAUCGCCGAAAGAUCGGCCCGCGUCUGAUUAGCUAGUUGGUGGGGUAACGGCUCACCAAGGCGACGAUCAGUAGCUGGUCUGAGAGGAUGAUCAGCCACAUUGGGACUGAGACACGGCCCAAACUCCUACGGGAGGCAGCAGUGGGGAAUAUUGGACAAUGGGCGCAAGCCUGAUCCAGCCAUGCCGCGUGAGUGAUGAAGGCCCUAGGGUUGUAAAGCUCUUUUGUGCGGGAAGAUAAUGACGGUACCGCAAGAAUAAGCCCCGGCUAACUUCGUGCCAGCAGCCGCGGUAAUACGAAGGGGGCUAGCGUUGCUCGGAAUCACUGGGCGUAAAGGGUGCGUAGGCGGGUCUUUAAGUCAGGGGUGAAAUCCUGGAGCUCAACUCCAGAACUGCCUUUGAUACUGAAGAUCUUGAGUUCGGGAGAGGUGAGUGGAACUGCGAGUGUAGAGGUGAAAUUCGUAGAUAUUCGCAAGAACACCAGUGGCGAAGGCGGCUCACUGGCCCGAUACUGACGCUGAGGCACGAAAGCGUGGGGAGCAAACAGGAUUAGAUACCCUAGUAGUCC
rnacentral:rRNA from 1 species